CCUACGGGUGGCAGCAGUGAGGAAUAUUGGUCAAUGGGCUUACGCCUGAACCAGCCAAGUCGCGUGAGGGAAGACUGCCCUAUGGGUUGUAAACCUCUUUUGUCAGGGAGCAACGCCGGCUACGUGUAGCCGGACUGAGAGUACCUGAAGAAAAAGCAUCGGCUAACUCCGUGCCAGCAGCCGCGGUAAUACGGAGGAUGCGAGCGUUAUCCGGAUUUAUUGGGUUUAAAGGGUGCGUAGGCGGAAUGCCAAGUCAGCGGUAAAAUCGCGGGGCUCAACCUCGCUCCGCCGUUGAAACUGGCGUUCUUGAGUGGUCGAGAGGUAUGCGGAAUGCGCAGUGUAGCGGUGAAAUGCUUAGAUAUUGCGCAGAACUCCGAUUGCGAAGGCAGCAUACCGGCGGCGAUCUGACGCUGAGGCACGAAAGCGUGGGUAUCGAACAGGAUUAGAUACCCUUGUAGUC
rnacentral:rRNA from 1 species